rfam:Arabidopsis thaliana chromosome 3, complete sequence.
AAACCAUGAUGAGGAAAUUGCGUGUAAUAACCUUUGAAGCGCUACCAUGCUUCACAGAAAGUCUUAGUGCUUUUCUGUGUGAAACCAGAAAUAUCAUUCCGAAGUCU